rnacentral:rRNA from 1 species
CCUACGGGCGGCAGCAGUGGGGAAUAUUGCACAAUGGGGGAAACCCUGAUGCAGCAACGCCGCGUGAGUGAAGAAGUAUUUCGGUAUGUAAAGCUCUAUCAGUAGGGAAGAAGAAAGACGGUACCUGACUAAGCAGCCCCGGCUAACUACGUGCCAGCAGCCGCGGUAAUACGUAGGGGGCAAGCGUUAUCCGGAUUUACUGGGUGUAAAGGGAGCGUAGACGGCUGUGCAAGUCUGAAGUGAAAGCCCGUGGCUCAACCGCGGAACUGCUUUGGAAACUGUAUAGCUGGAGUACUGGCGAGGCAGGCGGAAUUCCUAGUGUAGCGGUGAAAUGCGUAGAUAUUAGGAGGAACACCAGUGGCGAAGGCGGCCUGCUGGACAGAAACUGACGUUGAGGCUCGAAAGCGUGGGGAGCAAACAGGAUUAGAUACCCCGGUAGUC